GGAUCCAGACUUUGAUUCUGGCUCAGGAUGAACGCUAGCUACAGGCUUAACACAUGCAAGUCGAGGGGAAACGACAUCGAAAGCUUGCUUUUGAUGGGCGUCGACCGGCGCACGGGUGAGUAACGCGUAUCCAACCUGCCCACCACUUGGGAAUAACCUUGCGAAAGUAAGACUAAUACCCAAUGAUAUCUCUAGAAGACAUCUGAGGGAGAUUAAAGAUUUAUCGGUGAUGGAUGGGGAUGCGUCUGAUUAGCUUGUUGGCGGGGUAACGGCCCACCUAGGCGACGAUCAGUAGGGGUUCUGAGAGGAAGGUCCCCCACAUUGGAACUGAGACACGGUCCAAACUCCUACGGGAGGCAGCAGUGAGGAAUAUUGGUCAAUGGGCGAGAGCCUGAACCAGCCAAGUAGCGUGCAGGAUGACGGCCCUAUGGGUUGUAAACUGCUUUUAUAAGGGAAUAAAGUGAGAGUCGUGACUCUUUUUGCAUGUACCUUAUGAAUAAGGACCGGCUAAUUCCGUGCCAGCAGCCGCGGUAAUACGGAAGGUCCGGGCGUUAUCCGGAUUUAUUGGGUUUAAAGGGAGCGUAGGCCGGAGAUUAAGCGUGUUGUGAAAUGUAGAUGCUCAACAUCUGCACUGCAGCGCGAACUGGUUUCCUUGAGUACGCACAAAGUGGGCGGAAUUCGUGGUGUAGCGGUGAAAUGCUUAGAUAUCACGAAGAACUCCGAUUGCGAAGGCAGCUCACUGGAGCGCAACUGACGCUGAAGCUCGAAAGUGCGGGUAUCGAACAGGAUUAGAUACCCUGGUAGUCCGCACGGUAAACGAUGGAUGCCCGCUGUUGGUCUGAAUAGGUCAGCGGCCAAGCGAAAGCAUUAAGCAUCCCACCUGGGGAGUACGCCGGCAACGGUGCAACUCAAAUGAAUUGACGG
rnacentral:rRNA from 1 species